rnacentral:rRNA from 1 species
GCUUGUCUCAAAGAUUAAGCCAUGCAUGUCUAAGUAUAAACACCUUUAUACUGUGAAACUGCGUACAGCUCAUUAAAUCAGUAAUAAUUUAUUUGAUGGUGACUUACUACAUGGAUAACCGUAGUAACCUAGAGCUAAUACAUGCUGUAAAGCCCGACUUCUCGGAAGGGCCGUAUUUAUUAGAUAACAGACCAGCAGCUUCGGCUAUUGUGGUGAAUCAUAGUAACUAAUCGGAUCGCAUGGGCUAGUCCCGCGACAAACCAUUCAAGUUUCUGCCCCAUCAGCUUUCGACGGUAGUGUAUUGGACUACCGUGGCUUUUACGGGUAACGGAGGAUUAGGGUUCGAUUCCGGAGAGGGAGCCUGAGAAACGGCUACCACAUCUAAGGAAGGCAGCAGG